GCGAGUGAAGCGGCAAAAGCUCAAAUUUGAAAUCCCGCGGGAGUUGUAAUUUGAAGAGGAGUGGUUGGGCGGCGCGGUCUUCAAGUCCCUUGGAACAGGGCGCCUUAGAGGGUGAGAGCCCCGUGGAAGACCCCCCGCCGUCCUUUCGCCACCACCUCAACGAGUCGAGUUGUUUGGGAAUGCAGCUCAAAGUGGGUGGUAAAUUCCAUCUAAAGCUAAAUACCGGCGAGAGACCGAUAGCGAACAAGUACAGUGAUGGAAAGAUGAAAAGCACUUUGAAAAGAGAGUGAAACAGUACGUGAAAUUGUUGAAAGGGAAGGGCUUGCAAGCAGACACGGUCUUCGUACCGGGCCAGCAUCGGUUGCCAGGGGUGGACAAGGCGGCAGGAAUGUAGCUCACCGAGUAUUAUAUCCUGCCGAGAUACACCCACCGGCGUCCGAGGCCUGCGAUUCGUCUAGGAUGCUGGCGUAAUGGUUGCAAGCCGCCC
rnacentral:rRNA from 2 species